ACAGACGGACGCGGACACCGGAGGACGCGGGACCCGCCGCCGCCGCCGCGGCCCUUUAUUGCGUUAGAGCGGCCCCGCCAGGCGGUCGAGCUGCCGCGGGUUGGAGCCGCUCAGGAACCGCAGCUCCUCCUUCCCGUCCUCCGUGCGCGCUGCAAGACACAAGGAAAGCAUCCCAACUACCCGAUGGAUCUGGUUCUUCCCACCUCCCAGUCCACUCCCCACAAACCUGCUCUAAGACACGUACCUGCUGCUGGAACCGAUAGGGCAGCCCGUGUGGGAACACAGCUCUGACCUCCUCCAGUGGAAUGCUGUAGUGGCGCCCCUCGUGCUGCUCUCCGUGGUUGGCCUGGGAAGGUAAAAU